rnacentral:rRNA from 1 species
CCCAGACUCCUACGGGAGGCAGCAGUGGGGGAUAUUGCACAAUGGGGGGAACCCUGAUGCAGCGACGCCGCGUGGGUGAAGAAGCGCCUCGGCGCGUAAAGCCCUGUCAGCAGGGAAGAAAAUGACGGUACCUGAAGAAGAAGCCCCGGCUAACUACGUGCCAGCAGCCGCGGUAAUACGUAGGGGGCAAGCGUUAUCCGGAUUUACUGGGUGUAAAGGGGGCGCAGACGGCGAUGCAAGCCAGGAGUGAAAGCCCGGGGCCCAACCCCGGGACUGCUCUUGGAACUGCGUGGCUGGAGUGCAGGAGGGGCAGGCGGAAUUCCUGGUGUAGCGGUGAAAUGCGUAGAUAUCAGGAGGAACACCGGUGGCGAAGGCGGCCUGCUGGACUGCAACUGACGUUGAGGCCCGAAAGCGUGGGGAGCAGACAGGAUUAGAUACCCCCGUAG